UCUCAUAAAUUCAUUCCGGGAAAAACUAAAUGAUGAACACAAAAUGCUAUCAAGGCAACAGAAGAGGCACUCAACAGAAGGCACACACACUGCAACAUGUGAAUGAAUGAUACAAAGUGUGUGCAGUUUUCGUGGACUACCAUCAGCUGUUUUUCUUGUUCCUUUGUCUUCGUUUCCCACAAAAAAAAUCCUGCAGAAGUGUUUGUGAAAAUUCCAAAUGUCCAGAGUAUUUUCUUUAUUGUGUAUUCUUUAUUAUUUACACUUUUCUGUUUUCUUUCUUAUCUUACUCUU